AGUAAAGUCAGCUAAAUAAGCUUUCGGGCCCAUACCCCGAAAAUGUGGGUUAAAUCCCCUCCUCUACUA
rnacentral:tRNA from 1 species